UACGUAGGGCGCAAGCGUUUGUCCGGAAUUAUUGGGCGUAAAGAGCUCGUAGACGGCUUGUCACGUCGGGUGUGAAAGCCCGGGGCUUAACCCCGGGUCUGCAUUCGAUACGGGCUAGCUAGAGUGUGGUAGGGGGAGAUCGGAAUUCCUGGUGUAGCGGUGAAAUGCGCAGAUAUCAGGAGGAACACCGGUGGCGAAGGCGGAUCUCUGGGCCAUUACUGACGCUGAGGAGCGAAAGCGUGGGGAGCGAACAGG
rnacentral:rRNA from 1 species